UGGGGAAUAUUGCACAAUGGGCGGAAGCCUGAUGCAGCAACGCCGCGUGCGGGAUGACGGCCUUCGGGUUGUAAACCGCUUUCGCCUGUGACGAAGCGUGAGUGACGGUAAUGGGUAAAGAAGCACCGGCUAACUACGUGCCAGCAGCCGCGGUGAUACGUAGGGUGCGAGCGUUGUCCGGAUUUAUUGGGCGUAAAGGGCUCGUAGGUGGUUGAUCGCGUCGGAAGUGUAAUCUUGGGGCUUAACCCUGAGCGUGCUUUCGAUACGGGUUGACUUGAGGAAGGUAGGGGAGAAUGGAAUUCCUGGUGGAGCGGUGGAAUGCGCAGAUAUCAGGAGGAACACCAGUGGCGAAGGCGGUUCUCUGGGCCUUUCCUGACGCUGAGGAGCGAAAGCGUGGGGAGCGAACAGGCUUAGAUACCCUGGUAGUCCACGCUGUAAACGGUGGGUACUAGGUGUGGGGUCCAUUCCACGGGUUCCGCGCCGUAGCUACGCUUUAAGUACCCCGCCUGGGGAGUACGGCCGCA
rnacentral:rRNA from 1 species